rnacentral:snRNA from 1 species
GUUCAUUUCUAGGCAUAUACUAUAAUUGCAACAAUACAGAGAAGAUUAGCAUGGCCCUUGAGCAAUGAAGACACGUAAAGUCGUGGUGAGCCCCCAUUCUUU